UCAGUAGAGCAGCUCGCGUGACUUCCAGCUUAAGCUCUGUGGCUUUUAUCGCGACGUAUAUCGUGUUUAGAGAAAUUAAUUAUUCGGUCAUUAAGGCUGUAGGUGUUAUGAUUAGAGUUAAAAAAUUAUAGUUAUUACCAGGCCUGAAAACUCAUUAACGUGUGUUAAAGUUGUUCAGGAACUUUCCAUGCGUUAGGUCAUUUGUUUUCAUUAGGGAAAAGUUAGUUUCAAGAACAAUAAUGAAGCACUCAGUAAAAGUAGCAAACCAGAAUCAACAGUUUAAAGUUUAAUGGAUCGUUGAAGCUUUUUAAUCAAAUUAUAAGAUGCACAUGGGUGGCGUCUUGGCAACAAGUUGUAUUUUUCUGCUGAUUUUAAUUCAAGUUGCAUUUUCAACACUGCUGCCUUCCUGUCCACUUGAGUGCCUUUGUCUCUCGCAAACACAGGUGUUGUGCAAUUCCGGAGGACUCUACGACAUUCCAUUGAAACAGCUGCCGCCCACCGUAGAGCAUCUAUCUUUGACAAGAAAUCAGUUUCCAGUUGUGAAAAGCGAUUCUUUUGCAGGACUUCGUUUCCUUAAAAAAUUGUCAUUGGAUGGGAACAACAUAUCAUUAAUUAAGCCAUUUGCAUUUAGAGGGUUACCAAGGCUGCGAGACCUUUCAAUUCAGCAUACUCCACUCGAAACUGUGUCUCCAUUUGCAUUCGCUGGACUUCAAAAUAUCACUUCUAUUAAUUUGGCAUACAACAAAAUUAAGAAAAUCGAGAGUUACGCUUUCGCUGGCACUGUAAAUUUAAAGCAACUAAUAUUAACACACAACCCAAUUAUAAAGUUAGAAAGCAACGCUUUUACAGGUAUGACUGAGAUAGACCGUAUAGUUCUACCCUCUGGCAUAAGAACUAUUGAGCCUGAUUGUUUUAAUGGUUUAGAUACCUUAGGGCACUUACAGCUUGCUUUCAUGGACUUGAGGGGAUUAAGAGGUGGUAUAUUUAGAGGCUUAACAAAUGUCAAUUACCUAUCCAUCCAAGAGUCUGAUUUAGGUAUAAUAGAAGGAGAUGCAUUUAAUGAUAUGACAUAUGUUAAGAGUCUAAAUAUUCUUAAUAAUAAAGUAGAUGGUAUCCAGUUUUUGAACUUUUCAUGGGAACAACACAUAGGGCAUUUAAGAUUUCAGGGUAACCAUAUUUUGGAGAUACCUCGAGCAGAAACUUUAUUAAUCGAGGUAGAGAAAUUGACUGUGAUACAAAACCACUUUCCGUGUGACUGUCAUAUUCACUCUUUAUUAGAUGGACCUCUAGCCAAUGGUAGCAUGAUACAUUUUAUAUCUAGGAACUAUUGUAUUUCUCCUUUAGAAGUAAAUGGUGCUCCUAUGAGUAAUGUAGAUAUAGACUCUAUUGGUAGGUGUCAAGAAGAAGUGACUCGUGGUAAUUUAGAAGCUACUAAAGACUCAAACAAUAGUAGUGAACGACUAACAAGCUUCUGUAGUUACUUAAAUUUAAUGUUGUAUUUUUUAAAACUGUUGCGAAUAACCUAAGAGCUUAGGGUAUGUUGUUGCUAUAGGAACCAAACUAAUGAACUUAAAAAAAUGUGAUAUUUUUAAUUUUAUAAAAUAUUUUAUUCAUCAAGAAUUUGAUAUGCUUAAAGAUUAGUUUAGGUCAUGUUUAUUUUAUCAGCCAGUUGCCUAGAAUUUAAAGAACUCAUUGUACAGUAUUGUUGCACAUCUUCAAAAUUAUAAUUACUUAGGGUAUGUUUUUUUUUAAAUAAAACACAUUUUUAUAAGCAAAAUAUAAUUUCGCGGUGGAUGUAAAAUAAAAUUUUGUUAUAUGUAGAAAAGUCUAAUUUUUGUGACAUUAUUAAGCUGUACAUAUAUAGUUUGUUAGCCGGCUAAAUUAUUAUAGAAAAAAUUAUCCCACAAAAUGUGAUAUUAUCUCUUUACUACUGUUAUUUACGCCUAUACUGAUAAUAAUAACAUGAAUAGUUUUAAAAUACAAAAUUGCAUGUAAAAUGGUCCGUUACACCAAUGCCCUUGAUUUCUGUAAGUAAGGCUAAGUUUACCUCUAGUGCUAAGUAAAAUAUAAAAAAACAAGGUUUAAACCAUUGGUGUAAUAAGACAUAUAGAUCUAAAUUACUUUAAGAAUGCUUAAUUCCUCGUGUUUCCGAAUAGUAAUAAGUGUAUGUGAAAAUAAAUAAAGUAAUGUAAAUGCAACGGCGUAGUAAUAACGUCACACCAAAUUGUCAAUACUUAAGAGGUAUACCCUACAGUGUAAAUUUAAGAACGAAAUAUACGAUACUUUCAUCAUAUGUUAUUAGUUACCAAAAAUUUUUUUGUUUAAUAAUAUAUACGAAGGUUAUAAUUUUCUUACAAAAUGUGAAAUAUUAGUCAAAAUUAUUGGUUAUCAACAAUAAAAUGGGCAAUGAGGUAAUUUCUUAAUAUUUAAUUAUAGAAUCUAAAUUUACUCUUCAUUUUUAACGAGUGGGAAGUGAUUAAUAUAAUAUUGGAUUCAUCUGAGUUUACAACAUAUAAUUCAAGAAAAAUUGUGAGUACACUACUUAUUAUUGAGGUUUUCGGUAUCUUUCUUUCAUUAAUAUCAACAGUUCUCCGCGGGUUUUCCACAAAACGUAAAAUAUCAUCAUUCUUUUUUUUUAAAGAAAUCUGGUGUUAAACUAUUUACCAUUAUUUAUUGGACACUUUGCUUCUUCACAAUAAUUUUUUAUUGACAUUUUGAAAAUCUCCAUAAUUUUCACGUUGGAUUAUUUUGAAGCUUUACAAAAAUGCUUUACUUGCUUAUCUUUUUCUUUUGAUAUUAGUGAAGCUUCACUGGCUUUUGAGAUAUUUUCCUUAAGUUUUUUUAUGUGUUCUUUCAAAUCGUGGUCUACAAAAACUUAUUUUUAACUAGAAUGUCUUAUGAUACUAUUUGGCUACAUAACAGUGGUUUUACUCUGGGUGACACAUCAACUUACUCAGUUAAGUGUAAUAUUUUUUUGUACCGAAGUGUAUUUAGUCUAAGAGGUUAACUAGCUUUUUCAGGACAAGUAAAAGGGACAAACUGGAGCUUUGUACUAUUACAUAAUAGAUUUAAUUUGUUUAUUACAGGACUUAGGAUAUUAAUCUUUACAAUCAAAUUAGCUAUGAUAAAAAAUUAAAAUAAUAUAUUACGGAAAUUUUCACAAAUACACAAUUCAAUUUAUAGGUACAACUUAAAAGAUAUAAUAUAAUUCAUAGUUCUAACUAUAGAUAUUUUAACAAAACUUGUGUAAAAAUGUGAUUCCUAUUUUUCAUAUUAUCUCAAUUAAAUAAUGAAUCCAUUAGAAUGAAACAAAAAAUUUUACUAGACCACAAAUUAGGCCUAUGUUUAAAAUUUUUCAUUUCCUACGUUGAUACAAAGACAAAAAAAAAAGUUUUUGUUUCCUUUGUAAAUGAAUAAUUAUGUUAUUCUACUAUAAGGAGAAGGCACAAGCAUUAAUUAGGAGGAAAAUAAAAAAUUCAAACAAAAUUGCAAAACAAGUGAAUCGACUUUUAGGGAAUUAUAUUUUAUGACAAAUGGCAAUUACGUAAAUUGAUAAUCAAAAAUAAUUAACAAAAGCACCUUAAAUUACUUUGUCAAUAACUUUUAAAAACUAUUAUAAUUUCGUGUAAUAAACUGUGUUAGUUCAAUAUUUAAGUUUUUAUGGUUAUGACUUCCCUCAAUUUUUGUUUUUAAAUUUUGCAGAAAAAUCUUAAGAAUUUUCGGAAGCAAAAAUAAUAUAUUUCUUUGCACAUGAGAUCUAUUCAAAAAAUAUGAUUGUAUUUCAUUAUCUCUUUACGAACGGGUGCUAUAAUAAUAAAGUGUAAUAAUGAUAUCUAAGAAUCAUGAAGAUAUCCGACUUUAAUAAAUCUUUUCUUACAAUCAAAAAACAACUGUUUAGUGUUACGGAUACACAAGAAACCAUAUUAUUAACAUAUUGGCAAUAUCCAAAUAAAGUUACGGCAUAAAAAUAAAUGUACCGGAAUGAUGGCGCAUCGAAGCUAGAAAUAAUAUAAGCUUACGAUAGCCUGAAGCAACGAUUCUAUGCCAUGCAAUAAGUUUUAUUAAGUUAACACGCUAGUAUUUCUCAAUCCCUUGAGAAAUGUAAUGAAAAAAUAUGGUAUUGAAGCUAACCAAUUGUAAUUGAAAUUGCUGUCAGAACUGUAGAUAGUAUCACUGAAAUAAUCGCGAUAUGUGGCCAAUAUACGAGUAUAUGCUAAUAAAACUUAUUUGCAUUUUCCUGCUCAAAAAAUACUUAAAACUCCCUAGACUUAUUAGACUCCCUAGACUAAGAUCUAAGAAAGAAGCAUAGAUGCGCAUAUGUCUAGAUAACUAUACCAAACUUUUUAAAAGAUUAACAAACAUUUAUUCGUAAAAGGAGUUGCUUCAGAAACUAAAUAUUACUAAAAUCAUAAGAAGCUACAGUACUAUAAGGUAAAUUAUGUUAUAGUACUACCAAAUUAUUCCCCACAGCUUUUCAUAUUUUUUUUCCAAUUUUAAGGAAUAACAGCGUAUGAUCAAAUGACAAGAGGUCAGUAACCAUAAAAAGACAGUUUGGCAGAAAUAAUUUCAAAUUUUAUAAACAGUGGUAAAAUAUAGAAAGCUAGAUCCUAAUAAAUUUAUCUCAUAUCUAGUUUAUCAAAAUUAAGUUGCUAAAAAGAAUACUUUUUAGAAUGUGUUUUUAACUGAAAAUUUGGUUUACCGGGAUUUUCUCGUAUUAUUUGUACAAAAGGCUAAUGACUUUUUUUUAUUUAUGUAUAAAAAUUCCACACAAUAUGAGAGUUAAUAAUUUUAGUUAUAAUUUUAAAAUUAUCAUUUUAGCAUCCUGUAGCACCCAAACUUUUUGCGACUUUUUAUUAAGAUAAAUUUACUUAAAUACUCCGGUCUUAGUCUAAUAUGUUUAUUUAUCUCAUAACGCUGUUGCCAAUGUAUCAAUUCCAGGUUCAUUAUUUACCAUUCUUAUUUUUGAUUUCAUAAAAUAAAGCAUUUUAUAUAUUUAAUACAUAUAAUUUUUAGAAUUAAAACAAUAAAGAUGUAAGAGUUUUCUUAUUCAAAAUAUUUUAGUAAAAUUGAAGGCGUAUUUAUUAUAAAAUUUGUGGAAGAUACCAAGAACUCUUAGUGUAAACCUACCUAAGUACUGACAACUUGUAAAUUGUAUUGCCCGAUCAGCAUUUCUUUAGGUAUUUGUGUUGUCAAGGGACUAAUAAGGCUGCUUUAGUCCCUAAAUGUGCUCAAUAAAAUUAAUUUUUUUAUCCGUAUGCAUAAAAUGUAAUAUUUAUUAAAAAUUCAUAUUCGUUUCGCUUUUUUGGCCAUCAUCAAUGUUUUUUUUUUUAAAUACUUGCCAGCAUUUCUCACACUUAUUGAGUUACUGCAUACUAUAGUUCUUAAAUUGAAUAUACUGCAAAAUAUACACAAAAUAUAAAGUAAAACCAAAGUAUUUUUGUCAAACUAUCUCUGUCCCAUGUUAUAAAAUUUAAGAGUUCCAAACACUUUUUCCUGUUCAAUCUAAUGGCAUAUGUGAUUUUAAAUUUAAAAAACUUAAGCAAUUUUUUUGGCACUAAGCCUCUCCGUUAUUUUGCAUAACAUUUAU